rnacentral:rRNA from 1 species
AUUGAACGCUGGCGGAAUGCUUUACACAUGCAAGUCGAACGGCAGCACGGACUUCGGUCUGGUGGCGAGUGGCGAACGGGUGAGUAAUGUAUCGGAACGUGCCCAGUCGUGGGGGAUAACGUUGUGAAAAUUACGCUAAUACCGCAUACGAUCUAUGGAUGAAAGCGGGGGAUCGCAAGACCUCGCGCGAUUGGAGCGGCCGAUAUCAGAUUAGGUAGUUGGUGGGGUAAAGGCCCACCAAGCCAACGAUCUGUAGCUGGUCUGAGAGGACGACCAGCCACACUGGAAAUGAGACAAGGUCCAGACUCCUACGGGAGGCAGCAGUGGGGAAGUUUGGACAAUGGGCGAAAGCCUGAUCCAGCCAUUCCGCGUGCAGGAUGAAGGCCCUCGGGUUGUAAACUGCUUUUGUACAGAGCGAAAAGGUUUCUACUAAUACUAGGAGCUCAUGACGGUACUGUAAGAAUAAGCACCGGCUAACUACGUGCCAGCCGCCGCCGCAG